rnacentral:siRNA from 1 species
UUAUUUACAAUGGCUGCCACU